rnacentral:rRNA from 1 species
GAUGAACGCUGGCGGCGUGCCUAAUACAUGCAAGUCGAGCGAACAGAUGAGGAGCUUGCUCCCCUGACGUUAGCGGCGGACGGGUGAGUAACACGUGGAUAACCUACCUAUAAGACUGGGAUAACUUCGGGAAACCGGAGCUAAUACCGGAUAAUAUAUUGAACCGCAUGGUUCAAUAGUGAAUGACGGUUUUGCUGUCACUUAUAGCUGGAUCCGCGCCGCAUUAGCUAGUUGGUAAGGUAACGGCUUACCAAGGCAACGAUGCGUAGCCGACCUGAGAGGGUGAUCAGCCACACUGGAACUGAGACACGGUCCAGACUCCUACGGGAGGCAGCAGUAGGGAAUCUUCCGCAAUGGGCGAAAGCCUGACGGAGCAACGCCGCGUGAGUGAUGAAGGUCUUCGGAUCGUAAAACUCUGUUAUUAGGGAAGAACAAAUGUGUAAGUAACUAUGCACGUCUUGACGGUACCUAAUCAGAAAGCCACGGCUAACUACGUG